rnacentral:ncRNA from 20 species
GCAUGAAUCGGUGACUGGCGAUACACAAACGUGGGCAACCACGGGGGAGCCGAUUUGCGCAGAUGCCGCUCGCCUGGGCAAAGGGC